rnacentral:rRNA from 1 species
UACGAAGGGGGCUAGCGUUGUUCGGAAUUACUGGGCGUAAAGCGCACGUAGGCGGAUUGUUAAGUCAGAGGUGAAAUCCCGGAGCUCAACUUCGGAACUGCCUUUGAUACUGGCAAUCUAGAGUCCGGAAGAGGUUAGUGGAAUUCCCAGUGUAGAGGUGAAAUUCGUAGAUAUUGGGAAGAACACCAGUGGCGAAGGCGGCUCACUGGACUGGUAUUGACGCUGAGGUGCGAAAGCGUGGGGAGCAAACAGG